rnacentral:rRNA from 1 species
GACGAACGCUGGCGGCGCGCCUAACACAUGCAAGUCGAACGAGCGAGAGAGAGCUUGCUUUCUCGAGCGAGUGGCGAACGGGUGAGUAACGCGUGAGGAACCUGCCUCAAAGAGGGGGACAACAGUUGGAAAUGGCUGCUAAUACCGCAUAAGCGCACAGUGCCGCAUGGCAGUGUGUGAAAAACUCCGGUGGUAUGAGAUGGAUCCGCGUCUGAUUAGCCAGUUGGCGGGGUAACGGCCCACCAAAGCGACGAUCAGUAGCCGGCCUGAGAGGGCGACCGGCCACAUUGGGACUGAGACACGGCCCAA